rnacentral:tRNA from 1 species
CAUUAGAUAGCUAAAAGCAAGCACUGGUCUCUUAAACCAUUCUAUAGUAGAUUAGCCCCUACUUCUAAUGA